AUUGAACGCUGGCGGCAUGCCUUACACAUGCAAGUCGAACGGCAGCACGGGAGCAAUCCUGGUGGCGAGUGGCGAACGGGUGAGUAAUAUAUCGGAACGUGCCCAGUCGUGGGGAUAACGUAGCGAAAGCUACGCUAAUACCGCAUACGAUCUAUGGAUGAAAGCGGGGGAUCGCAAGACCUCGCGCGAUUGGAGCGGCCGAUAUCAGAUUAGGUAGUUGGUGAGGUAAAGGCUCACCAAGCCGACGAUCUGUAGCUGGUCUGAGAGGACGACCAGCCACACUGGGACUGAGACACGGCCCAGACUCCUACGGGAGGCAGCAGUGGGGGAAUUUUUGGACAAUGGGCGCAAGCCUGAUCCAGCAAUGCCGCGUGCAGGAUGAAGGCC
rnacentral:rRNA from 1 species